rnacentral:rRNA from 1 species
UUAAAGAGUUCUAUAACUCCCAAACCCAUGUGAACAUACCUAACGUUGCCUCGGCAGGUCGCACCUACCUUGUAGCACCCUACCCUGUAGGGCCUACCCGGGAGGUGCGGGUAAGCCUGCCGGCGGCCCACCAAACUCUGUUUGAUAUUGAAUUCUGAACCUAUAACUAAAUAAGUUAAAACUUUCAACAACGGAUCUCUUGGUUCUGGCAUCGAUGAAGAACGCAGCGAAAUGCGAUAAGUAAUGUGAAUUGCAGAAUUCAGUGAAUCAUCGAAUCUUUGAACGCAUAUUGCGCCCAUUAGUAUUCUAGUGGGCAGGACCGUUCGAGCGUCAUUUCAACCCUUAAGCCUUCGUUGCUUAGUGUUGGGAGCCUACGGCAACGUAGCUCCUCAAAGUUAGUGGCGGAGUUGGUUCACACUCUAGACGUAGUAAUUUUUUAUCUCGCCUAUUAGUUGGACUAAUCCCCUGCCGUAAAACCCCCAAUUUAUAUCAAGGUUGACCUCGAAUCGGUUCAGACAAACUCGCUAAAUUGAAGCAUCUUAGUCAGCGAAGGAAAAGAAACCAACAGGGAUUGCCCUA